UAUAUUUUUAUUAGUCAUUAUUUUCAUUCAUAAUUUUUGUUAAACUUUAAAAACAUGUACCUUCCGACCCCUCGUUCGCGACGCCCGACCGACGCACCACCGCGCGGCCCCGACGGCUCCGGCGGAAGGCUCGGUGGUGAACGCUUUCGACUCUGCCCUUUCUCUCCCUCCGAGUCACAACCGACCCCUAACCGCGCGGCCUCCAUCUUCGCAGUCACCGAAUCGCAACGAAUUUAGAGGAUUUACACUGACGACGCCGCCCCGUUGCCUCCGCCUCCGUCUCGAAAGCCUCGAAAGGUAUGAUCAGAGUAAUCGUUCGACCAAGCCCUAACCGCGCAGCCUCUGCCUCCGCUUCCCCGAAUCUUGACGAACCCAGAGGGUUUACACUGACGACGUCGCCCCGUUGCGUCUGCCUCCGCCUCAAAAGGUACGAUUAGGGUAAUCAUCCAACCAAGCCCUAACCGUGCGGCCUCCGCUGCCGCCGAAUCUCAACGAACCCAGGGGGUUUACACUGACGAUGCCGCCCCCUCGCCUCCGCCUCCGUCUUGAAAGAAUGAUUAUUGUUUGACGAAUGGAAAGCUUCCUCCAUCUGUGGAUUUCGUAUGCAUGUGUAUGUAUGUUUAAAGCUUUCACGCGUGAAUUCAUGUCGUGCUUCUGGUAUAAUACAAUCGUGAGCCCAAGUAAUUCACAUCUUUGGCAAUCUUUUAAUUAGACACGUUCGGUGCAGAUGAUGUUUGACCUUUAAUUAGAAGUUGAAAAUUUGUGUGAAGCCAUCCUUAUAUUAUGUUUGCAUACCUAGGAUUUAGCUAUUUACUUAUGAAGUGUACUCUGGAGUUUUUGGGCUCUUUCUGUUAUCCAUGUAUUCUGCUUGUGGCUUUCGAGCUAUGUACCUAUCUUGCCAUUUUAGCGUCUUCUUCGUGACAUGGUAAAGGUGCCAAAGUAACAACAAUGGACCAUUCAUCUUAAUGAAAAAAAAUUGCAGCAAAUUUAAUGAUCAGCUCAGAGAGAAUUCUUUGAAUUACUCCCCUCCUCUUGUUUAUUCUUUUCAGAACUAAAUCUCAGAAAACCAAAUCUACCAUAUGAUUAACCAUGGACCACAUACAAAAAUGGACCAGACAUCUUAAUGCGGAGGUGCUAUCGAUUCUUCUGUACAAAUUUUUCCUCUGUUCAUAGUGUAUACCCAUUCAUAUUAGGAGUGUUACUGUUAGAAGCGGUCCUACAGGAAGUGUUAAUUUGAUUAGCAUCUAUUCAUCUAUUCAUCAUGUUAGUUGAUUGUGUUGAGUAUUGGAAGUGUUCUUUUGGGUUCUCUUGAAUUUUAUGCUAUCCUCAUUUUUACCUUGCAAAUGAUAGAAUCAUAAAAGGAAAUUAAGUUUUAAUUUUAAAAGCAUAAAUAGUAGUAGCAUUACAACUAAUAGUGAGGUGUCAUCGCAAGAAGAUAUUAGUGAAUUCAUGAAGAGAUCAGCCUAUUCGUCACAAUUGAUUAUGUCGGCCCUUUUGAUCAACAAUGAUUGGUGCUUUGCUAUCAUGGCCUCAAAUCUCCUCUAUGAACGGCAAGGACGAAGGACAAUUGGGGAAGAAGAUACUACGGCUGCCCAAGUUACAACCAUAACAAUAGAGGAGAAGUUUUUUAAUUUUGGGUUGAUGAGGAAAUCAAUCAAUCGGCAAAGAGUGUGACCAAGAGUUUUUGUCAGAGCAAUGUUGAGCAAGAACCAAUGUUGACUAACAAUGAAGAUGAGAGCUGUUCAAUGGAUGCCUAAAACAAGGCUCUCAAGGCAAAUCUGAAACAUUUGAAGAAAGAAAAUUUUAGAUUAAAGACGUCAGCUGUGUUGAUGUUUAUAGUAAUUUUAGAUCGUAUUUAUUUUAGAAUUUGACAUGUUUUGAAAUUUGGCAAACAUGAAGAUGUUGAUUGGGCUGUUCAUGAGUUUAACAUGUUUUGUACAUGUAUGUACAUUCUAAUUGUGGGAUGAAUGAAGUGAACAUUAUUUGUGAGUUGAAAAGCACA